rnacentral:rRNA from 1 species
GACGAACGCUGGCGGCGUGCUUAACACAUGCAAGUCGAACGGAAAGGCCCUGCUUUUGUGGGGUGCUCGAGUGGCGAACGGGUGAGUAACACGUGAGUAACCUGCCCUUGACUUUGGGAUAACUUCAGGAAACUGGGGCUAAUACCGGAUAGGAGCUCCUGCUGCAUGGUGGGGGUUGGAAAGUUUCGGCGGUUGGAGAUGGACUCGCGGCUUAUCAGCUUGUUGGUGGGGUAGUGGCUUACCAAGGCUUUGACGGGUAGCCGGCCUGAGAGGGUGACCGGCCACAUUGGGACUGAGAUACGGCCCAGACUCCUACGGGAGGCAGCAGUGGGGAAUAUUGCACAAUGGGCGGAAGCCUGUUGCAGCAACGCCGCGUGCGGGAUGACGGCCUUCGGGUUGUAAACCGCUUUCGCCUGUGACGAAGCGUGAGUGACGGUAAUGGGUAAAGAAGCACCGGCUAACUACGUG